AUCAAACCGACCACGUUUUCACGUGAUCGAAAUGUUAUUUUGUUGCGAUCACUCGCAAAGCAAAUGUAAAAUCAAAAGCAAAUUUAAAAGCCAGAGUGGGGCUAAGAAUUCGCUUAAUUAGAGGUCAUAGGCUCCAACGAGAUCGUGUUCAUAUAAAUAAUAUAAAAUAUCACUUACGAUCCUGCACUAGCCUUGUUGCGAUGACAAACAAGCCAAAAUAAAAAGCAAUGAAGAAAAAAAAAAUAACAAACAAAAAUAAUAACAAUUUAAAUGAACAGACAGUAAAAAUACGCUAGUGCUAACGAACUUUGUAAACUUAAAGGCAAGGUUGCAAGCAGAAAAGCUUCAAAAUUAUGCGAGACGUAAAAAGGCAAACUUAAAAGCGAGCGAUACUAAAUACUACGUAGUAUAAAGUCGCUGAGCGUUAAAAAUAAAAUAUCAGACACGCAACAGCGACGGCUGCCAGCAGUGUUUUCUAUAGAAAACGAAAAUUAUUUCCUGUUUUCAGCAAUAACAACCGCGCGUGAGGUGGAAAACGAAAAUAUCGCCCUGCAGGCGGAGAUAACAGAGUUGGGGGUGUCUAACAGUCGUGGUGAAUCCGAAACGCAUUUGGCCAUUGCAUUGCAGUUUGUUUACCAUCACGUAUUAGCCACAAACCUUAUAGAGUAUGUACAUACACAUACAUAUGCAUGUUUGUAUGUAUAUACGUAUACCCCGUAACAUACCCCUUGAAGUUGAAACGACGCAGUUGUAAGAGAAACCGAGACGAGGCGGAGAUACAAAGAGGCCCCAAACAAUGCGUAAAAGAGGUGAUUGAUAACAAGUGUCUAUAAUUAUGCUGAUACAAUUGGAGCUACAAAUAGAGGGUGAAACGUUUUUCGUGCACACAGUUGCACUUUAUGUAAACAUGUGGGCACACGCACAAGGUUGUGGAUGAAGAAGAAGAAGUGCAUUGUGCAGGCGAAAAGGAGAAGGUGCAGAGGAAGAGGGCCAAAAGGACAACCAUAGAAAGAGGGAGCAGCCAAGCUUGGUGUAUUUUUGGCACACUAUCGCCCCCAGUAGAUACCUCUCUUUCCCGCAUUCGCUUAUACCAUUUGGCUGUGGUGCAUUCAACCUGCUGGCGAGGGAGACAGGUGCAUUUACAGUUCCUCGCGAUCAACAGCUGUGUGAGUGAUGGCGAGUGGGGCAAUUACUUAACGGCUUUUGUACGAUAGGGUAUCUUAAAUUAAUAUUGUUACAAAAUAUUGGAACUGAUAGGAUUUCAUAUUUUAUUGUAUAGAUUCUUAGAUACUUCAAAAUAUUUAUAUUUUCUAUCAGUCUUUUUUAUAUUGUAACGCAUAAACAUACACAAAAAAUGUAUUAAAUUCAUAGCACAUGAUGAGCAAUUCUGGUAAACAGAGAAUACCAACACUGGACUCGGAGACAACGCAAUUUGCUGAACUUUAAUGCGUAGCAAGCCAAAUCGAAAAGUGCAGUAAACAAUGAAACGUUGCUAACGACCCACCCUCCACCGACCCCCUCCCCAUCCCCAUCCCCCUUUCCGAGAUGAUUUGUUAUUGUUGGCCUGGCUUACACGGGGUUGUUGUUGCUGCGUAGCUUGGUUGUUGCUGGAUAAGGCAGCGGCGCAUGCAACAAAUUGCGUUCUACCAACAACAGAAACAACGGCAUUUAGAGAUGCGAGACAAAGGACCAUGGGUGGAUAUUUUAAACAAGAGUACUGUGCACUUCAAAAACCAUAACUAAUUUGUUUCCUUAAAUAAAUAUAUUACCUAAAGUUCAUCUAAUCCAAGAUGUAAGUAUUUUUCCGCAGUAAAUUUAAGCUUACUAUUUAUUUAAUAUAAAAUGAAAAGGGUUUCUUACUUUAUUGCCUUAUGUAACUAUAAGUAUUGCUGUUGGUAUAUUUUUUAAUUGCACAAGAUAUGGCUAUAAAAAAGAUAAACAUUUCAGACCUGAGAAUAAGAUAGCACAUAAAGGCCACAAAGAAUCGCCACUCGGUGACGUAGUUUGUUUUCCAGCUGAAUUCCAAAUGCAAUUGUUCAAAUUACCCCACUUGAACGAGGAAACCAGAAUGCUGCUCUUGGAAGACGAGAAAAUAUUCAGCAUAGGGUGGGAAAGCUCGAGCUUGGGGUUUAUCACCACCAAGCAAACGGAAGCACGCAUACAAAUGCGUAUGUGGAUAGUACUACGAAAUCGCCGGAUUUGUCGUCAUCCAUGGAAUGAUUAACAAAAACAGUUGAUUGAACUUUGUUUGGCCUCCGCACAUCCCACGGCGAAUGUUUGUGCCCGUGUGUACUUGAAAUGCCCCACUUUGCGGUGUGGGGCUAAUAAUUUCGGGUGUUAAUGACCAGAGCACUGACUCUCAACGCUGCAAACAAGUCCCAGCAAUUGUGCUCCGCAGAUUGAUGGCGGGUCAGGAAAUUCCAGAUGCACAUAGUGGGAUCCCCUUUCGAUUUUUUUGGUAAUUGCAAAAAUCCCCACAACUUGCAAAUGAACUGAGCCUUGAACAUCUAUUGAACUUUUAUAAGUGCACUUUAAAGAUACAUUUCUUCCAAACAAUUUUUAAAGGAUUUAAUUUGCAUAUAUAAAACUUCAUAUAUAAAACCAUAAAGUUCAUGGAAUUUCUGUGAAUUAGAUUAUCGUACAUCAUUUUUUUUCGCUUGACGCAGAUGAGUUCAGAUGAACAGCUGUCAAAUGUGGGCGUUUUUUGGGUAACGCCCGAAAAUGCACCCAACAGAAGUGUCAUUAGACUCAUAUUUUUGGUUUCGUAUUUUUUAUAUUGCUUGUCGCUUAUUAUUUUAGAUACAUAGCUACAAUUCGGGUUGUACAUCUAUAUAUGCAUAUAAAAAACACGAUAUGUUGACAUUCGUACAUAUGUAAAGUCAGAGAUUCUUCAACA